GCCAUCUCUAGGGCAGAAAUCUCUCAACAGCUCAAGCCCAUUCUCUCUGCCCCCUCCAUGAAACAACACAGCUCCAGCUUGGUGCUGGGAAGUCUUUCUGAUGCUGGUUUGAUUCCUGAUCACCCAACUGGGCAAGGCCCUCUCCAAGACCUCUCGGGUUCUCCCUGGCUCACCUUCCCUCCCACAGGAGGCAGCACUGUCUCAAGAAGCCGUCAACGAGUAAUGCUAGAAGAAUCAGAAGAAGGAGGUAUCUGAUGAAAAGGCACCUGCAAGUCUAAAUUCCUCUUUGGUGAGAACACUGUACAUCCGCUGAGGCAGCCCUUUGGAGUAGGGAGCAGGGCGUGGCACAGUGGUCCGCAAAAUGAAUUCCCGGCCAGCAGGGGGUGGGAAGUCUGACACGGAGUUCUGCCGCCUUUCCUCUGCAGAGCCCAUUCUCGUGAAUUCCUCCUCUGGUGGAGCCAGGGCUGCAGCCUGGAAAAGAAUCAAAUGCUGAAGUCAAAAGCAGGUAAAAUGCUAAACUCAGAUGCUUUUGAAGGACAGAUGAAUUAACAUGAUAAAUAAAUGAAAAUGUCCUAUGUUACUCAGUAAUGCAGUCAGCUGUAUGAAAGAUUACUCAAAACCACAUUACACAGCAAAUGCAAGAAGCUUGAAACACGGCAUGAGCAGCCGGACUGGAGACAGAGACAGGAGGGAUGAUGACUGCCAGGCAAUCUGCUCUGAAGAGAGAGGGCCAUAUUCAGACAUCUGAUGAAAAAGGCCCACAGAGCUGUGCUGCUUUCUGUUUCUUCCAGCAACGACUCAAGUCUCUGUCUGGUAGCCCCAGCCCAGUAAGGAGCUGUUUUUCUCCAGAGAUGAUUUUCAUCUUCACUCUGGGAAACCUCAAAGGUAGAUAUCUUCACCAUUACAAGUGAAUCCACUUUGCGCUACAUGGGCUUUAAAGAUGGUAAAACUGAACUCCAUUCUAAUUUGAAAGUAUCUGUAAGUAAACAUGUUUUCCUACAGCACAGCAUUGGCCAUUGCUAAUCAUAUCCCUGCCAGCUUCUAUAACAAUGGAUUUUGGACUCUUCUGAUUUUUAAAAUGUAGGUCCUAGAAUACACUUAUCAUUUUAAUUCAACAUGUAGGAAAACAGAUUUCGAGGCUCAGAAAUCAUUGUUUCUUCAUUGUUCAAACCCAAUGCCCAGACUUACGCUUGGAUGACAUCACUGUGAUCAGCCACGUGUGAGAACUAAAACAGCCUCUUGCAGAGCAGAGGUCUGGAGAGAUCAUGAUAAGAGUCAGCAAAGGUUCUCACAUACCCUCUGAGCACUCACAAACAGCUUGUGAAUGAUCCUGCCAGCAUGUCCUCUUCCUGCGCCGGUGACUAACACUUCAGGUUGCUCCAGCAGGCAACUCACAAACCUAGGAGAGACAGACAGCCAAUGAAAGGGUGGAAAUGAGCUGUCCAGGCCACUUUGUGUCUAUCCAUCCUCCCACAGGAGUUUUUUGGACAAAUUCUCCAGCUCAUACUGGCUGGACGCACCAAGGUUGGAGUGAAAUUUUACAGCAAGAUAGACUGACAUUUGGAAUUAAUACCCACUCAAUUGAAAAUCUUCCUGCUUUUUCACCUGUGUUCAUAAAAAUUUUUUCAAGUCUAUCUCUGUCAAAGUGUUAAGAAAAAAUAUUCAGCCUAGAAGCUUAGAAAAUGCUACAGUUAAUAAAAGAUGAAAAGAAAUUUGGAUAACAUAAACUAAGUUAUAUUUAUCCAAUAAAAGUAAUGAUCCAUA